AAGAAUAGACAAUCUCACCUGAUUUCAGAAGCUAAGCAGGGUCAGGCCCGGUUAGUACUUGGAUGGGAGACCACCUUGGACUACCAGGUGCUGUAGGCG
rnacentral:rRNA from 1 species